rnacentral:rRNA from 1 species
GUCAAGUAAGAAUACCCGCUGGACUUAAGCAUAUCAAUAAGCGGAGGAAAAGAAACUAACAAGGAUUCCCUUAGUAACGGCGAGUGAAGCGGGAAGAGCUCAAAUUUUAAAUCUCCGAGGUCUUCCUUGGCGAGUUGUAAUUUGAAGAGAGCGUUUUGACGUUCGGGUUCAAUCCAAAUCCUUUGGGAUAAGGUAUCAUAGAGGGUGAGAAUCCCGUUUAUGAUUGAAUCUCGGGUGUCGCUUAAUUCACUUUCCAAGAGUCGAGUUGUUUGGGAUUGCAGCUCAGAACGGGUGGUAAAUUUCACCUAAGGCUAAAUAUGUGCAAGAGACCGAUAGCGAACAAGUACCGUGAGGGAAAGAUGAAAAGAACUUUGAAAAGAGAGUUAAAUAGUACGUGAAAUUGUUGAAAGGGAAACGAUUGAAGUCAGUCAUGCUAGUGAGGAAUCAACCGGAUGGUGCGUGGGUUCUCCCUCGUACUUUCCGGUGCACUUUCUCACCCGGCAGGUUAGCAUCAAUUUCGGUUAUCAUAAAAAAUUUGAGAGAAUGUGGCUUUUCUUCGGGAAAGUGUUAUAGAUCUCGAUCUAUGUGGUGACCGGGAUUGAGGAUUGCAGCGGAUACCCUCGUGGCUCGUCACCUGGCUUCUGACGGUUACCCCGCUUUCGAUAGCUCGCUAACGUUAGUGGGACUCGAUCGUCUAGAUGUCAGAGUGAUUGAUUUUCGCUAAGGAUGCUGACGUAAUGGCUUUAAACGACCCGUCUUGAAACACGGACCAAGGAGUCUAACAUGUGUGCGAGUGUU